AUGGGAGCUCCGGCGCCGCGUCAAGCUGCGGCAGGGAGGCCGGAGCCGCGCGCGGAGACGAAUGAGGAGAAAAUUAAGAGGCAUGGAGGAGAGGUGGGCGAGCGGGAAGGGCUGGGGCGUCGCCCACGACAUCGAGCUUGACGGCGGCCUUGCGGCGGCACAGUCGGCGAGGAGCUGUCGGAUCUCGCAGGAUCCGGUGGGAAAUGGAGCGCUGGCGGCAGAUCUGAAGGCGGCCGGAGCUUGGAGCACGACGGCUGGCGGGCGCGGCAUGGCCGACGCUGAUGAGAGAAGAGAGAGAUGAGCGGCAGAGAAAAGAGAGGACGGGAAGAAGAUGGGAGGCUAGAGGGAGAGAGAAGGGCGUAGUGGUCCUGCUGCUGCUCGCCGGUGGCUAGCCGGAGUUGCAGCCCCGCGCAUCACAUGGUCAUGCCAAGGCCCAGGAGUGCGACACCACCAUCCUGUGCCACAAACCAUACCAAGAAUGAUGAGUUAUGGCUAGAGUUCAUUUGAUCCAUCUGAUAAAAAUACCUAUUUUAAGGAAUAAGCGUGAAAAGUAAUCAACCGCUCUUUCCGCAGUGGAAUUCGGCUUCAUGGGAAUAUGGUACCCUACGACGCAGGAAGACUACUGAAGAUCAUUUCUAAAUCUAAUCAAGUCAAAGCUUCUCUGUUGUCUGUACUGCAGCCAUGAUGAUCUGAAGUUUAGGACCACAUUGUAGUCAAGAAAAAGGAAUGAUCUUGGGACUGAUUUGGCUGUUCAAGAGGCCGAACACAUAUAAAUACACAUCCACUCCCUCGACCGAAGCCCCAACCCAAUUGCGUCGUUUCAUCCGUGCUCGACAUUGGUGUCUUGCCGUUCUGCCAAAGUCAUGGAAAUCUCACUGUUCUGCCAACCUGGCCGGAAUUUCUCCGUACUGCCGACUUCAUCGGAAUUACAUCUACCCGUGUAGCCAAGUGAGAUGAUAGUGAAUUUUCCAGUGGCCACCGCUUUCUGAGAUCGCCAUCACUACCUAGCACUCUGAUUUUGCUAUAACUGUUGUCCUCCUAAUAGGUACUAUACUUUCUCUUUCUACUUCUUUUGUUUUGCCAUUUUUGUUAAAGUUCAUUAUGAUUCUUUUAUAUUCAUUGUACCUCUUCUUGUUUGCCGUUCUCGAUGCUGCAACAUUGGUAACUGAGAAUCCGGCGACAAUCAAAUAGAAGUCGAAGAAUUCUUGUCCUUCUCUUGUGUUGAACUCCAUUUCCAGGCUGCCGUAACUGAUGGUUAUCCGUGCUUUUCUCAGCUUCAUUAUUACUCUCCUUAUGUUCCACACAUGUGGCACAUUGCCUGAAGUGUAUGAAUUUCCCCAUAACAUGAUGGAUCCUUCAUCUUCAGCUAACUUGCAGCAAUGCAGCAAGUGUAUGCUUUUUAUUUAUUUAUUUUCUUCAGGAAUUUUUUUUGCUGAUGCAAUCUGAAUAUGUGUUUACAUAUCAGUUUCUCUACUUGAUGUUUCUUAAUUACCUUGUCCAAGCUUAGAUUGUCAAGAAGUCAUACUUUCCAGGGAUUUGAAGAAGCUGGAUCAAUACAACUUUAUGUAGAGAAACUUUAUGUAGCUUGCUGUCUUGCUGUACAUUGUCUGAAGCUCUAUGUAGCUUGCUGUCUUGUUGUACAUUGCUGUAACUUACAGUUACAGGGUUGUACAAUCCUGUAUCAUCAA
rnacentral:rRNA from 1 species